GGUUUGUCGCGUUGUUCGUGAAAUCUCACGGCUUAACUGUGAGCGUGCGGGCGAUACGGGCAGACUUGAGUACUGCAGGGGAGACUGGAAUUCCUGGUGUAGCGGUGGAAUGCGCAGAUAUCAGGAGGAACACCGGUGGCGAAGGCGGGUCUCUGGGCAGUAACUGACGCUGAGGAGCGAAAGCGUGGGGAGCGAACAGGAUUAGAUACCCUGGUAGUCCACGCCGUAAACGGUGGGUACUAGGUGUGGGUUUCCUUCCUUGGGAUCCGUGCCGUAGCUAACGCAUUAAGUACCCCGCCUGGGGAGUACGGCCGCAAGGCUAAAACUCAAAGAAAUUGACGGGGGCCCGCACAAGCGGCGGAGCAUGUGGAUUAAUUCGAUGCAACGCGAAGAACCUUACCUGGGUUUGACAUGCACAGGACGCCGGCAGAGAUGUCGGUUCCCUUGUGGCCUGUGUGCAGGUGGUGCAUGGCUGUCGUCAGCUCGUGUCGUGAGAUGUUGGGUUAAGUCCCGCAACGAGCGCAACCCUUGUCUCAUGUUGCCAGCGGGUAAUGCCGGGGACUCGUGAGAGACUGCCGGGGUCAACUCGGAGGAAGGUGGGGAUGACGUCAAGUCAUCAUGCCCCUUAUGUCCAGGGCUUCACACAUGCUACAAUGGCCGGUACAAAGGGCUGCGAUGCCGCGAGGUUAAGCGAAUCCUUUUAAAGCCGGUCUCAGUUCGGAUCGGGGUCUGCAACUCGACCCCGUGAAGUCGGA
rnacentral:rRNA from 1 species